AUGCAUGUCUAAGUACAAGCCGCUAGUCGGCGAAACCGCGAAUGGCUCAAUAAAUCAGUUAUGGUUCCUUAGAUCUAUUUAUCCUACUUGGAUAACUGUGGUAAUUCUAGAGCUAAUACAUGCAUUCAAGCCCCGACUCUCGGACUCUCGGGCCCGGGUAGGAGGGGUGCUUUUAUUAGACCAAAACCAAUCGAGGCGCUAAGCCGGGGYCGGGUUCGCCUGGCUCCGGUGCCUCGUUACCUUUGGUGACUCUGAAUAACUUUCCGCUGAUCGCACGGCCUCGAGCCGGCGACGCAUCUUUCAAAUGUCUGCCUUAUCAACUUUCGAUGGUAGGUUAUGCGCCUACCAUGGUUGCUACGGGUAACGGGGAAUCGGGGUUCGAUUCCGGAGAGGGAGCCUGAGAAACGGCUACCACAUCCAAGGAAGGCAGCAGGCGCGCAAAUUACCCACUCCCGGCACGGGGAGGUAGUGACGAAAAAUAACGAUACGGGACUCUUCCG
rnacentral:rRNA from 1 species